AUUGAACGCUGGCGGCAUGCUUUACACAUGCAAGUCGAACGGCAGCGGGGUAGUGCUUGCACUACUGCCGGCGAGUGGCGAACGGGUGAGUAAUAUAUCGGAACGUACCGAGUAAUGGGGGAUAACCAAUCGAAAGAUUGGCUAAUACCGCAUACGUCCUGAGGGAGAAAGCGGGGGAUCGCAAGACCUCGCGUUAUUCGAGCGGCCGAUAACUGAUUAGCUAGUUGGUGGGGUAAAGGCCUACCAAGGCGACGAUCAGUAGCGGGUCUGAGAGGACGAUCCGCCACACUGGGACUGAGACACGGCCCAGACUCCUACGGGAGGCAGCAGUGGGGAAUUUUGGACAAUGGGGGCAACCCUGAUCCAGCCAUGCCGCGUGUAUGAAGAAGGCCUUCGGGUUGUAAAGUACUUUUGUUAGGGAAGAAAAGGGAAGUGCUAAUACCACUUUUUGCUGACGGUACCUAAAGAAUAAGCACCGGCUAACUACGUGCCAGCAGCCGCGGUAAUACGUAGGGUGCGAGCGUUAAUCGGAAUUACUGGGCGUAAAGCGAGCGCAGACGGUUAUUUAAGCAGGAUGUGAAAUCCCCGGGCUCAACCUGGGAACUGCGUUCUGAACUGGAUAGCUAGAGUGUGUCAGAGGGGGGUAGAAUUCCACGUGUAGCAGUGAAAUGCGUAGAGAUGUGGAGGAAUACCGAUGGCGAAGGCAGCCCCCUGGGAUAACACUGACGUUCAUGCUCGAAAGCGUGGGUAGCAAACAGG
rnacentral:rRNA from 1 species